GCCCGGUUAGCUCAGUCGGUAGAGCAUCAGACUUUUAAUCUGAGGGUCGCGGGUUCAAGUCCCACAUCGGGCG
rnacentral:tRNA from 1 species